rnacentral:rRNA from 1 species
GAUGAACGCUAGCGGCAGGCUUAAUACAUGCAAGUCGAACGGUAAGGUCUCUUCGGAGAUACACGAGUGGCGCACGGGUGCGUAACGCGUAUGCAACCUACCUUUAACUGGGAAAUAGCCCCGAGAAAUCGGGAUUAAUGUCCCAUAUUAUUCUUUGAAUACCUAUUCGAGGAAUGAAAGCUCCGGCGGUUAUUGAUGGGCAUGCGUGACAUUAGCUAGUUGGUGAGGUAGCGGCUCACCAAGGCAACGAUGUCUAGGGGUCCUGAGAGGGUUAACCCCCACACUGGUACUGAGACACGGACCAGACUCCUACGGGAGGCAGCAGUAAGGAAUAUUGGGCAAUGGACGCAAGUCUGACCCAGCCAUGCCGCAUGAAGGAUGAAUGUCCUAUGGAUUGUAAACUUCUUUUAUGCAGGAAAAAUAUCCCGGUCGUGAACCGGGACUGAUGGUACUGUAUGAAUAAGCAUCGGCUAACUCCGUGCCAGCAGCCGCCGUAA